rnacentral:piRNA from 1 species
UGAUAUCCUGAUGGCGAAGAUCAAACUUGC